rnacentral:rRNA from 1 species
UGGCCUUUAUGAUUAGGGCUGCACACGUCGUACAAUGCAACGUACAAAGGGACGCAAGUUCGCGAGGACAAGCAAAUCCCACAAAGCGUUGCUCAGUUCGGAUUGCAGGCUGCAACUCGCCUGCAUGAAGCUGGAAUCGCUAGUAAUCGCGGGUCAGCAUACCGCGGUGAAUGUGUUCCUGAGCCUUGUACACACCGCCCGUCAAGCCACGAAAGUUGGAAGGGCCCAAAGUCAGUGAGCUAACCCGCAAGGGAGGCAGCUGCCCAAGGCCAGUUCGAUGAUUGGGACUAAGUCGUAACAAGGUAGCCGUAGGGGAACCUGCGGCUGGAUCACCUCCUUU